rnacentral:rRNA from 1 species
AUGCCUCUUAAGAAUAAAGUCUUUGCAUGGUAUCUUUGUCGCAGAGUCAUUCUUACUAAAGAUAACCUUAUUAAGAGGAAUUGGCAUGGAAGUACGCAAUGUGUCUUUUGUCAACAUGAUGAGACAAUAAAACAUUUGUUCUUCCAAUGCAAAUUGGCUCGUUCUAUAUGGUCAGUCAUCCAAAUAGCUUCUGGCUUGCAUCCUCCUUUUAGUGUUGCUAAUGUAUUUGGUAACUGGUUACAUGGGAUUGACCACAGGUUUAGAACACUCCUCAGGGUGGGAGCGCUUGCCGUUAUUUGGUCGCUUUGGCUAUGUAGAAAUGAUAAGGUUUUUAAUGAUAAAAAUACUUCUCUGAUGCAGGUUAUCUACAGAUGUACCGGGACUCUUCGUUUAUGGUCCCCUCUACAACGUGUGGAGAAUCAAGACCUGUUUACGGAGGUGUGUUCAUGA